rnacentral:rRNA from 1 species
GACGAACGCUGGCGGCGUGCUUAACACAUGCAAGUCGAACGGAAAGGCCCUGCUUGCCGGGUGCUCGAGUGGCGAACGGGUGAGUAACACGUGGGUGAUCUGCCCCUUACUUUGGGAUAAGCCUGGGAAACUGGGUCUAAUACUGGAUAGGACCAUGCUGUAGGUGGUGUGGUGGAAAGAUUAGUUUCGGUAAGGGAUGAGCUCGCGGCCUAUCAGCUUGUUGGUGGGUAAUGGCCUACCAAGGCGUCGACGGGUAGCCGGCCUGAGAGGGUGGACGGCCACAUUGGGACUGAGAUACGGCCCAGACUCCUACGGGAGGCAGCAGUGGGGAAUAUUGCACAAUGGGCGCAAGCCUGAUGCAGCGACGCCGCGUGGGGGAUGACGGCCUUCGGGUUGUAAACUCCUUUCAGCCAUGACGAAGCCCUUGUGGUGACGGUAGUGGUAGAAGAUGCACCGGCUAACUACGUG